rnacentral:lncRNA from 1 species
GAGGGAAUCAAUAAUCAGCAAUGAUGUUACGGUGGCGGAUCUAGCACCUGGCGAGCACCCCCGGCCGAGCAUGCUGGAUCCGCCGGGACCUUCAAUUGCCGCCGAGAUCGUCGGGUUGCAGGCCCAGGUAGUUGCUAAGUUGCAGAAUGCUGAGACGAAGGUUGAAAGGGAAGAAAGAAGAAGAUUUCCAUUUUCUUGUCAUUGGGGCUUGGGCUGGUGACCUGGGCCUUUUUUGUUUUAAAAAAAAAUAAAUUUGGCCCAAUAGAGGAAAUCAUUGGUCCGGCAUCCAUGGUAUUAAUUUCCCCCCAACCCAAACUCCAAAUCCCUAUUCCCCAACAUUUGAAACCGGCAGCAAGCAAAGGCGAAGUGCAAACCCUUCCUUCCAAUUCCAUAUUUCCAUUCCAAGCAGAAACAGUAGCUACGGUGCCUGCGAACGAAAUGGGUGGGAAGUACGAGUGCGACUGUGCGAGCAGUUGUGGACGGUGGACCGUGUGCGAACUGGUGCGAUUGUGCGAAGUUAGGGACAAUCGAGGCCGAACAAGCAGCGUGGGUGAGUUGAAUACUUGAAUUUUUUUGGUUGAAUGUUGAAUUCUUUUUGUUGCAAACCCUUUGUUGACUGUUGAAUUGUUGUCUAUUGAUUUGUUGAGUGAAGUGUGUUGAUUGUUGAGUGUCUGUUGAUAAUUGCUUUGAGUAUUGUUUGUACUUUGAUGCAAAUAUGCAAUGAUGUAUUUUGUGUUUUAAUUAUACGUAUUAUUUAUUAAUUAGUUAGUGAAUCAAUCUUCAAUUCAUAUAGAAAACCAAAUUAGGAG